rnacentral:rRNA from 1 species
UACGGGGGGGGUAAGCGUUGUUCGGAAUUACUGGGCGUAAAGGGCUCGUAGGCGGCCAACUAAGUCAGACGUGAAAUCCCUCAGCUUAACUGGGGAACUGCGUCUGAUACUGGAUGGCUUGGAUUCGGGAGAGGAAUGCGGAAUUCCAGGUGUAGCGGUGAAAUGCGUAGAUAUCUGGAGGAACACCGGUGGCGAAGGCGGCAUUCUGGACCGAUACUGACGCUGAGGAGCGAAAGCGUGGGGAGCAAACAGG